CUUUUGCAUCUUGAAUCUUUGCACCUGCUUUUUGCCGGGAAGACUGUCUCUCUGGCCCUCUGGUGGCCGGCUUCUUGACAUCAUCCAUAUCUCAGCUCACAUGCUGUCCUUUGACAAGGCCUUCCCUGGUCCUCUUCAAGGGAGACCACCCUUAACCUGCCACUCCCUUCCCCUUUCCUUGUGUAUGUUCUUCAUCGUGUCAGGCACUACUUGCAAUAUUUGUUUGUUUGUGCAUCUCUUUAUUGUCUGUCUUUUCCCCAAGAGGCUGAAAGCUCCAUGGUUUUUUGGUCCCUGCAGCAACUAGAACAGUACCUGGCAGACACAAGACACGUAAUACAUAUUUUUGAAUGAGGAACUUGGCUCCAGAAGCCAUGAGAAUAACUUUGUUCCAACACAUUCAGGCUGCGGUCAGAAAGGGUGAGCUGGAAGCAGUGAGCUGGGAGAUAAUGAAACCAAAACACCAUUAUCAGGAAGCUUGAGAACAAGGCCACCUUUUAAGUAUCUAGAAAUUCCCAUUAAUUUCUUCCACACCUUGUUCCCCAUCCCACCUGAAGACUGAAGCUGAGAGGCUUUUUUCCCAGUCAUCUUGACCACAAGAUCAGUUCUCUCCGUGAACAUAAAGACAAAAUCGCUGUGACACCAACAGACAGAUUUUUUAACAAGUGGAAUCCAUGUCUCAUGUAAACAAUGUGCUACUGCCUGCCAUUGAGUUCUCUUCCCUCGUUUUCCUUUUUGAAGACUUAACCCCUUUCCCAAAGGGACAUGUGCUCAGGUUUCUUGACUCCACAGCAAUCCCUUCUGUUGUGUAAGGCAAACUGAUCACCUUUCACAACGAGACAAGAAGUGAUUUAAAUCAGAUGGUGACCCAAUGACAAUGUCUGUGCUGUGUCCUAUGGAGAAAACCAAAGCUGAAAUCCAGUAACAGGUGAUAGGAAGAUGUGGAGAUAGAAACUGACCUGAAUUCUGAAAAACAACAAGAGAAAAGGAAGUCUGAGAACAAGCUGGUGUUCUUCCAAAACCUGUUCAUUGUGUGAAUUCCUAGAAGAUAGCGUGACACCGAGAAACAGGCUGGAGUGACACACCCAAACAAUUAUGCUACCUGGAUCUGCCAAGGCAGGAGGACAAACUCAGCAGCCUGGAGAAUGGAGGACACAGUCCAGAGUUGUUCUUCUCACCUGAAGAACGUUGGGAAGACCUUAAUUGGAAUCACAAGAAUUGGGUGUAAACUUUGGCUCCACAUUCACUAUCUGUGGGACAUUCAUUAUCUGUGGGCUUCAUCUGUAAAUGGGUGGGCUGUCUUUGGGUAGGUCACCCAGUUGAAACAAUGGACUCCAAGGGUUUUAUUACCUCCUAAGUGUUGAAUAGGAUUAUUGUGUGUCUCCUUGACUUAAUUAGUCCAAUUUUCUACCUCAGGUAGCACAACCAUCACUUCUCAAUUUCGUAUUCUAUUUCUUUUAGGAAGAGUCAAUGCUCAAGAUCUGUGAGAAACUGAAGCAUGUUUGCCUGUUUUUCUCAAUAUAUGCACGUUCUGUAUAUCUCAGUUCUAAAGAACUAAAGGUAAACUCUAAUACGAGCAGUAGGAAAUGGCCAGAUAGGAGGAAUGUGCACAGUGACCUUGGGCAAAUGUCUGAAUUCUAAGGCCUUGUUUUCCUCCUCCACAACACGAGUAAAUCAGUUUCAAUAAUCUGUUAGGUCCCUUCUGUGUCAGCUUGGAAGUCCCUGCUGGAGGUAAAGGGUGACACUGUUCAAUGCACUGAGAACAGCCAGGAAGAAGCUCAAAUGUGUAAGAAUAGAAAAGGAAGGUUAUGGCCUUUUUACUUGAUUCCACAAUGCAAAGGUAAACAGUCAUGAGAAAGAAAAGAGGUUUAAAAGAAAACAAUAGUGACCUAUCUGCUUUCCCUUUUGGUAAAGUAACUUUCGUAGGGCUGCUUACCAUGCUGUAUAUAUAUUUUUAUUCUUUCUGCCCGUUAUUUACAUACUCAUUCAACAUAUAUUUAUUGAGAAGUUGCAGAGUUCUGCUGACUGUCUCAUCUUCCAUCUUCUAAAGCAAAACAACAACAACAACAACACACAGUUGUGCUAGUUUUUUGGCUUACCUCCUUACAAGGUCAUACUGCUAAAACCCUCACUCUGGCAUGACUAAUCUGACACAUAGUUUGCCUUUGUUCUCCAGAGGUCUAAUGAACAGCUCCCUGUACACCACCAGGUACAGUCUACACUCUUUGAGCUGGCCUUGAGCCCCUUGCCAUCUGAGCUGCCUCCCUUGUUCCUAUUUUAGCUUCCUGCAUGCCCAGGCAGCAAGUGACUUGGCUCCACAAACAGCCUGUUGCUAUGAUCUGCUUCUUCCUCUCAUUCAAACCCUCGAGGCCUCGGGAGGUAGUGUAGCAUGAUGUUAAGAGCAAAGCUGUGAAGUCAGUGAAAGAUGGGUUUUACCUGAAAUCCCAUCAUUAACUGGUUUUGAAAACUCUGCCAAGUUUCCUAAGCCCUCUGAUGUAUGAAAAGACGAUGAUAACCACUUUGCUGAAUUGUCUUAAGGCUAAAAGGAGAUAAAUUAUGUAACUUGUUUGCUUUGAAAAUGGAUUGAUAUUUGCUCAUGAAAUCUCCUUCAGGCGCAUGUCAUGAACCCUAUUCGUGCAGUCCAACUUCUACUCAACUUUCAAAGUUGGGGUUUCAUGCCAUUUUUAUCAUGAAAUGUCCAAAAGCAUGUGCCCCCUCAGUUGGACUCUCUGUUAUGGCCCAUAUUACGUUUUAUCAUGUAUUUUAGAUAUCUAUGUUGUUAGUAUAUGGAAAGUAAACAUCUUAUUUAUCUUUAUUUUGUCACAAAGCCUGGCACAGUUGAUUGCCUAUUUGGUAUGUAGUAGUAAAAAAAUUCUUAUGAAAUGAAUUAGUGAAUGAAUAUACAAUGUAUUAAUAAAUGAUUUUGCUAGUGGUAAAUAUUCCUAUACAUAAGGAGCUAAAGGGGGCAUGCCAGCUGAUCAAUCUUUCUGAAAUAAAACCUUUUGAAAGUCUUUCUCCAGUAAGAUAUUUGAGCUCAUAUAACUGACAAGAGUAUUAGGAUAUAAAAUAUAUAAAAAUCAUAUGACUCAAUAAGAAAAAAACUAAUUAUAAAAAGGGGCAGAGGGCAGGAACAGGAGAUUUCAUAGAAAAUAAAACCCAAAUGGCCAAUAAAUAUAUGAAAUGUUGUUCCACCUUACUAGUAAUUAUAGAAAUGAAAACUAAAAUAAUAAGAGAACAUUUCAUAAAUUGAACACUUUGGAAGUACUUAGUAGUGGUAAGGAUGUAAGAAAUGAGCAUUCAAAAAUUCAGGUUUCAAAUUGAUCAUAGUAGAUUCCUACAAGUAAAUACAAAAAUGCAUGAGAAUAAUGAAUCUGAUCUACCUGUACCAACAGGAAUAAAUUCAGAAAACAACAGAAAAUGAUAAAGGUUACUUGCAGAAGUAUAGAACAGUAUGAUGGUAUUUCUAUAUGGCAUCAACCCAUACACACACAUACACACACACA
rnacentral:lncRNA from 1 species